UCCUUAUCAAGAGCAGGGGAGGAACUUGGUCCCGCGAUCCUGCAGCAACCUGUCAGUAUUGACAAGGUGCUCACUCCAACAGACGUCAGGGUCUGGAAGAUGAGGA
rnacentral:ncRNA from 2 species